rnacentral:rRNA from 1 species
GCCCAGACUCCUACGGGAGGCAGCAGUGGGGAAUAUUGGGCAAUGGGCGCAAGCCUGACCCAGCAAUGCCGCGUGAAGGAAGAAGGCUUUCGGGUUGUAAACUUCUUUUGACAGGGAAGAGCAGAAGACGGUACCUGUCGAAUAAGCCACGGCUAACUACGUGCCAGCAGCCGCGGUAAUACGUAGGUGGCAAGCGUUGUCCGGGUUUACUGGGUGUAAAGGGCGUGUAGCCGGGCUGACAAGUCAGAUGUGAAAUCCGGGGGCUCAACCCCCGGACUGCAUUUGAAACUGGUGGUCUUGAGUAUCGGAGAGGCAGGCGGAAUUCCUAGUGUAGCGGUGAAAUGCGUAGAUAUUAGGAGGAACACCAGUGGCGGAGGCGGCCUGCUGGGCGACAACUGACGGUGAGGCGCGAAAGCGUGGGGAGCAAACAGGAUUA